CCCCAUCCGUGAGUCCAGCAACGACCCACCAGCCGCAUAAAUCAGAGGCCAGGGAAGUCGAGCUGGCGGCUGGGUUUGGAACAUGCUUCGGUGACUCAGAGCAGCAGCUGGAAAUAAUCUGCUGCUGUUGACUUCACCGCCCUCCUGUUCGGCAGCUCGGGGGACCUGCCACGGCCCACUGAGUAUUCCAGUGCCAGAGAGCUGGGGAAACCUGUCCUGAAGUUGGCGGCCGCUGAUGAAGCCAUAGGCAGGACUCGAAGGCCUGCAGCGAGGCCUGACCAUCAGCCUCCCUGGCAGGACCCCUUGAGGGACAAGGACGCCUCUAGCAGGAAGGAUCUGGGAAGGUGGCCCAACAGGCCAGGAGCUGAGCACACAGCAGGGCGGAUGAGAGUGAGGCGCUCCGGCCAGAUCGGGUCUCAGUCCAGCUUUAACACUUCCCAGCUCUGACACUGGGGACAUGGAUUUGCUGUUCCAAGCCUCAGUGUCCUUGUCUGAUGUACGCUGAUUACUACUGAGCACCGACUGUAUGCCGGGUGCCUUCGUGGCACUUCUCGGUUGCACGCUGGUUAGUAUUGAGCACCGACUGCAUGCCGGGUGCCCUCACGGCACUUCUCGGUUGCACGCUGUGAGCCAGAGGCCAAACACAGCACACGUUGUCUCUGAAAAGAAGAGGAUGGACCAGCCUAAGAAGGUAUUAAAAAUGCCAGGAGCCGAGAAGCCCCCUGCCCCGCUCCCAACAUUCCUUCAGGACAGUUUUGCUGACACAGCAUUCCUCUGGGCCAGGGUGAAGGCCCAAAGUCCCAACCAAUGAUGAUUUCCUGUUAACCCUUGGACUAAGGGUUGAGCCCUGGAAUAUCCCCCAGGGAUUCCGGAGGCCUUCUUCUUGCGUUUGUUUACAAUGCAUGGCCCUCUUCCUUGCCAAGAGGAAGCCCAGUUUUAUUUACAUUUCAGUGUCCCAGAGGGUGGAGGGGACCACCGGGCACCUUUGUCCCCAGGCUGAUUCUGGGCUGCUGCUUGCAAAUGAGGAAGCUCUAAACUGCCCAGAAGUCAGACACUAGUAGAAUUUUGAAGCUGGAAGGGGUGCCAUUUCACAGAUGGGGAAUGAGAGGUCUGGAGAUGCCUAGAUUGGACCAGGGCCUGAGCCAGAUCAUCCGGGAGGAUCCAGGGAUCCUGGCCUUGUCCUGCCAUGGACGGUCCCGUCCCCAUCAGCAGACUGGCGACGUGGACCAGACGUUUGCCUCGCACGGCUACUCGCCCUGGUGGUCAAGAGUAGGGCCUGGAGCCCGACGUCCUGGGUCUGAAUUCUGCUUAGCCCCUUUGGACGAAAACUUAACACUCAAUGCCACUUCUUUCCUGUAUGUGAAAUGGGGCUGAUCACCACAGUUAACCCUAAGCGCCUCGCACCGCAAGUCCCUCUGCUUGUUAAAUAAAUACAAUGGAUCUCUACACAUGCACAAUAAAGACACGGAAACAGUUAAUC
rnacentral:lncRNA from 1 species